UCCGGUGACCAUAGCGGAGGGGAAACACCUCUUCCCAUUCCGAACAGAGCAGUUAAGCCCUCCAGCGCCGAUGGUACUGCUAGGGCAACCUUGUGGGAGAGUAGGACGUUGCCGGGA
rnacentral:rRNA from 1 species